UGGUCGCCUAGAGGGAAACAGCCAGCCAAGAGAAAGCAGCCGGCCAAGAAAAAGGCGGACAGAAGCACGGAGCCGCUGCAGCCUAACCAGAACCCGGAACCCCGACAGCCUGAGGCUAACCCGGAGCCCAAGCAAGGUAGUACUCAGUCAUACGAUGUAUUCAACAUUGCAGUACGAGAGUACUGCGACAUGCCCUUGAAUACCUACAUUCAGUACUCUGACGACGUUCAUGUCGUACCACCACACACGGAGACGGUACCGGAGCCGCCGGCCCCACUGGCGGAAGGACCGGAGCCACAUCCCGGGACAUCGCGGGAAAGCAGACAUAACACAAGAUUGUGGUAUGCAUUGCCGACGGAGGAACAGUUGGUGGAGUCAGCAUAGGCCGAGGGGAUUCGUCCCAACCCUCAGGGAGUCUACAUCUGGAGCGAGCCCGAAGAGGACGAAGUCCCCAUCCCCGAAGAACCGCCCGCCAUGCAGGACGCAAUGAUGUCACCCGCAUUAACGUUGUCCAGCUCGCCCAGGUCGUCACCGCGUCCUCCGGGUCAAGGUCGUUCAGAUCGUCACACCCGUCCUCCUCGUCCAGGUCGUCACCCGCGUACUCCGCGUCCAGAUCCCCAUCGGACUCAAAGUCACCAGCCGCCUCCAGGUCGUCACCCGCGUCCUCCGCGUCCAGGUCGUCUAGCUCCGAGUCAACUUCGUCCUGGUCUGCCACGUCGGGCUCCUCAUCAGACUAUUUUCCUUUCGAGAUUUAUUCCUUGUCAGACUCGGACGUAGAAGU